CAAUAGCGUAUAUUAAAGUUGUUGCAGUUAAAAAGCUCGUAGUUGAAUUUCGGGUCCCCGCGCUCGGCGCUUCAUUGUGCCGUCGUGGUGUCCCUCCUCGCCGUAAGGCGUCCUUGACUGUGAAAAAAUUAGAGUGUUCAAAGCAGGCAAUCGCUUGAAUACAUUAGCAUGGAAUAAUAAGAUAGGAUCUUGUCUAUUUUGUUGGUUGCGGACAACGAUAAUGAUUAAUAGGGAUAGUUGGGGGUGUCCGUAUUGAGCUGUCAGAGGUGAAAUUCUUGGAUUUGCUCAAGACGAACUACUGCGAAAGCAUUCACCAAGGAUGUUUUCAUUAA
rnacentral:rRNA from 1 species